rnacentral:rRNA from 1 species
CACGCGUACGCCGCCCGGUGGAUGGCUUGGCUCGGGCGCCGACGAAGGCCGUGGCAAGCUGCGAUAAGCCCCGGCUAGGCGCAUGCAGCCGUAGAACCGGGGAUGGCCGAAUGGGACUUCCUGCUGGAGCCUAAUAAGCUCCAGCGUCCCCGUAUGGGGACGGGAACCCGCCGAACUGAAACAUCUUAGUAGGCGGAGGAAAAGAAACCAAUAGGGAUCCCGGGAGUAGGGGCGACCGAAACCGGGAGAGGCCAAACCAAAUCCCCAGGGGAAACCCUGGGGAGAUGUGGUGUUGUAGGGCUUCGCCGCCGUCUCCCCGGGGAAGCCGAAGUGGCCUGGAAAGGCCCGCCGUAGAGGGUGAUAGCCCCGUAGGCGUAACCCGGGAGGCGAAUGGGCGAAGAUCCCUGAGUACCGUGGGUCGGAUAUCCCGCGGGAAGCUGGCGGGCACCGACCGCCAAGCCUAAAUACGUCCCGAGACCGAUAGCGUACUACGUACCGUGAGGGAAAGCUGAAAAGUACCCCGGAAGGGGGGUGAAAAGAGCCUGAAACCGGGCGGUUACAGACGGGUGUGGCCCAGAAGGGUAGAACCUCCUCGAAGGAAACCGGGGCGACCCGGGAGUACGAGAGGAGGGGACCAGGGUCACACUGUCCGUCUAGAAACACGGGCCGGGGAGUUCAUCCGAGUGGCGAGCCUAAGGGGUUCAACCCCGAAGGCGUAGGGAAACCGACAGACCCGCAGCCGGGGUAGACCCGGAAGCAACGAAAGCUUGGUUGUAUCCCGCUUUUAAGCGGGGUGCUUCGCGCAGCUUAGCUGCGCACCAAGCAAGUAGUUGUUUCCAGGUUCCCGGUGAGGGGUGGGGUCUGAAAGGGCCCGGAGUCACUCGGAUGAGACCAGAAACCGGGCGAUCUAGGCCGGGGUAGGGUGAAGCCGGGCGAAAGCCCGGUGGAGGCCCGAAGGGGUGCUGACGUGCAAUUCGCUCCCAUGACCCCGGUCUAGGGGCAAAAGACCAAUCUAGCCCGGUGAUAGCUGGUUCCCCCCGAAGCUGGUCACAGCCAGGCCUAGCCGGAGGUAGCCGGCGGGGUAGAGCACUGAUUGGGGGUAACGGGGUCGAAAGGCCUCGUCCUCCUUUCAAACUCCGAACCCGUCGGCGCCGUAGAUGGCUGGAGACGGGUUCCGGUGGGUAAGCCACUGGGCCGAGAGGGGAACAACCCAGACCCGGGUUAAGGCCCCAAAGUGCCGGCUAAGUGUGAAUCUUGAAGGGCGUCUCCAGCCUUAGACAGCGGGGAGGUAGGCUUAGAAGCAGCCAUCCUCUAAGGAGUGCGUAACAGCUCACCCGCCGAGGCUGGAGGCCCCGAAAAUGGACGGGGCUCAAGCCGGCCGCCGAGACCCGGGGGCACAGCCGCAAUGCGGCUGUGAUCCGGUAGGGGGGCGUCCCGAUGGGGCGGAAGCCGGGCCGUGAGGUCCGGUGGACCCGUUGGGAAUGCAGAUCCCGGCGGUAGUAGCAGCAAAGUCGGGUGAGAAUCCCGACCGCCGAAGGGGCCAGGGUUCCUCGGCAAUGCGUCGUCAGCCGAGGGUUAGUCGGUCCUAAGGCUGGGGGUAACACCUACCAGCCGAAAGGGAAACAGGUUUAUAUUCCUGUACCGCGGAGGUACGCUCGCGGCAACGCAAGCCCUUCUCCUGACGCCUCGGGGUAGGCCGACUGGGGUCGUCGCCCCAGCUAAGCUUCCGAAGCCCGGGGAGUACCGUAAUGGUGAGAACCGGGCGAAGGAGCGAAUGGCCUGCCGUUUUAGGCGGGUUCGGCCGAUCCCUGGGGCCCGUGAAAAGGGAGAAGGGAAGGAGCCUCCGCGUCCGUACCGAGAACCGACACAGGUGCCCCUAGGUGAGAAGCCUCAGGCGUGUCGGGUCGAACCCGGGCUAGGGAAAUCGGCAAAUUAGCCCCGUAACUUCGGGAGAAGGGGUGCCUGCGGUUUUAGCGUUAAGCUGGAACCGCAGGUCGCAGUGACUAGGGGGGCCUGACUGUUUAAUAAAAACAUAGCUCCCCGCUAGCCCGAAAGGGUGUGUACGGGGGGUGAAUCCUGGCCAGUGGCGGUCCGUGAAACCCGGGUACAACCGGGUGAAGCGCCGCUAAACGCCGGGAGUAACUGUGACUCUCUUAACGGGAAAGUCUCGCCGUUUAAAAUUACGUAAAGCUUAUGUAACUCUCAGGUAAAUGUGUAGUUAUUGAGAGGUUAGGAAUGGAAAAUAAAUUACUAACGGGUUAUGUACUCGGAUUUAUAGAUGCGGAAGCAAGUUUCUCAAUAAGUAUAAAGUUACAGAAAGGGUUAGCCUACGGAAUACGUUUGGAUCCAGUGUUCAGUAUAACACAGCAAGAAAAAGCACCCUUGGAGAUAAUCAGACAAGUAAUAGGAGUUGGAAGAAUAAUAAGAAAACCAGGACAAAGACAUCUAUACCUCUUAGUAAUAGACAGCAUGAAAGACCUACGUGAAAAACUAAUCCCAUUCUUAAAUAUAUAUGAAAAUGUAUUAACCGCUAAGAAAAGAAAUUAUGAACUAUUUAGAGAAAUUGUUGAAAAAAUGCUAAGAAAAGAACAUCGAAAACCUGAAAUCCUAAAGCAACUUGUAAAAAAGGCUUAUCUACUUUCAAACUUAAGUUCUAAAGCCUAUAGAAAAAGGAGACUUCAAGAAAUACUCUCCAUAAUAGAUUAUUAUUGUUCUAAGCGGCGGGACUUCCCGGGAGAAAGGUAGCCAAAUGCCUUGCCGGAUAAGUACCGGCGUGCAUGAACGGAUCAACGAGGUCCCCACUGUCCCGGCCCGGGGCCCGGCGAACCCACAACCCCGUGAACAGUCGGGGGACCCCCAGCGGGGAGAGAAGACCCCGUGGAGCUUUACCGCAGCCUGGUCCUGGGUUACGUUCGUGGGUGCAUAGCGUAGGCGGGAGUCGUCGAUCCCGGUCUCUUCGGGGACCGGGGGAGACGCCCAUGGAACACCGCCCACCCAUGAACGUAACCCUAACCGGGGCGAAGGCCCCGGGACACGGCCAGGUGGGCGGUUUGGCUGGGGCGGCACGCCCCCGAAAAGAUAUCGGGGGCGCCCAAAGGUCGGCUCAGGCGGGUCAGAACUCCGCCGUAGAGUGCAAGGGCAAAAGCCGGCCUGACUGGGCUCCGCAAAGCGAGGGGCCCAGGGGCGAAAGCCUGGCCUAGCGAUCCUUCGUGUCCCCCUCGGUGGGGGCCGGAGGUGACAGAAAAGUUACCCCGGGGGUAACAGGCUCGUCGCGGGCAAGAGCCCACAUCGACCCCGCGGCUUGGUACCUCGAUGUCGGCUCUUCCCAUCCUGGGGGUGCAGCAGCCCCCAAGGGUGGGGUUGUUCGCCCAUUAAAGGGGAACGUGAGCUGGGUUUAGACCGUCGUGAGACAGGUCGGAUUCUACCUGCUGGGGGUGUUGGCCGCCUGAGGGUAAGGCGCCCUCAGUACGAGAGGAACGGGGCGCCGGGGCCUCUAGUCUACCGGUUGUCCGACAGGGCACUGCCGGGCAGCCACGCCCCAACCGAUAAGGGCUGAAAGCAUCUAAGCCCGAAACGGGACCCGAAAAGAGGCGGCCAU